ACUCCUGCGGGAGGCAGCAGUGGGGAAUAUUGCACAAUGGGCGCAAGCCUGAUGCAGCCAUGCCGCGUGUAUGAAGAAGGCCUUCGGGUUGUAAAGUACUUUCAGCGGGGAGGAAGGUGUUGAGGUUAAUAACCUCAGCAAUUGACGUUACCCGCAGAAGAAGCACCGGCUAACUCCGUGCCAGCAGCCGCGGUAAUACGGAGGGUGCAAGCGUUAAUCGGAAUUACUGGGCGUAAAGCGCACGCAGGCGGUCUGUCAAGUCGGAUGUGAAAUCCCCGGGCUCAACCUGGGAACUGCAUUCGAAACUGGCAGGCUAGAGUCUUGUAGAGGGGGGUAGAAUUCCAGGUGUAGCGGUGAAAUGCGUAGAGAUCUGGAGGAAUACCGGUGGCGAAGGCGGCCCCCUGGACAAAGACUGACGCUCAGGUGCGAAAGCGUGGGGAGCAAACAGGAUUAGAUACCCGUGUAGUCCCAUG
rnacentral:rRNA from 1 species